rnacentral:piRNA from 1 species
UGGAAGAUACCCGUAGCCUGCCUUCCUA